rnacentral:tRNA from 1 species
GGAAGAGACCAUGGCUCAGUGGUAGAUCAUCUGAUUGGCACGCAGAAGGUCCCAGGUUCAAUCCCAGGCGUUUCCA